AGUGAACGCUGGCGGUAGGCCUAACACAUGCAAGUCGAACGGCAGCACAGUAAGAGCUUGCUCUUACGGGUGGCGAGUGGCGGACGGGUGAGGAAUACAUCGGAAUCUACUUUUUCGUGGGUGAUAACGUAGGGAAACUUACGCUAAUACCGCAUACGACCUACGGGUGAAAGCAGGGGAUCUUCGGACCUUGCGCGAUUGAAUGAGCCGAUGUCGGAUUAGCUAGUUGGCGGGGUAAAGGCCCACCAAGGCGACGAUCCGUAGCUGGUCUGAGAGGAUGAUCAGCCACACUGGAACUGAGACACGGUCCAGACUCCUACGGGAGGCAGCAGUGGGGAAUAUUGGACAAUGGGCGCAAGCCUGAUCCAGCCAUACCGCGUGAGUGAAGAAGGCCUUCGGGUUGUAAAGCCCUUUUAUUGGGAAAGAAAAGCAGCAGGUUAAUACCUCGCUGUUCUGACGGUACCCAAAGAAUAAGCACCGGCUAACUUCGUG
rnacentral:rRNA from 1 species